GCCCCCUGCCUUCUCGCCUACCUCCCCGCCCUCCUCCUGCUAUCGCUCCUCCCCGCUGUCGCCUCCGUCUACACCAAGCGCAACACUCUCACCUUCCCACGCGUCCUCUUCGUUGUGCCCUGUGUCUGGCGGAGGCUCGCCGCCAAGUUCCUAGCCGCCUUCGCUCUCCUCUUCGCCUACCACGCCGCUGCCGUGCUCGUCUUCACGGCCUCCUCAUCGUCGGGUUCAACGGCUCCAGCCUCUCGGGCCUACUCCGCCCCAGCGCCCCCUCCCCGACCGCCUACCUCCCAACCCUUGCCCCCGCCCAGUGCAGCAGCCGGCCUGCUCCGUGCGCCUCAUCUGGGGCCUCCGAGACGGCAAGACGAAGACCAUCAGCGCGCUCCUGUGGUCCAUGCUGAUCGAGAACCAGAGGACGGUGACCUGCGCCCCGACCAACACCGCUGUGGCGGAGGUCGCGUCACGGGUCCUUGGUGUUAUCGAAGAGUCCAGCGGCGGCGGUGCUGCAACGAAGUGUUUCUUUGGCGAUGUCGUGCUCUUCGGCAACGAGGACAGGAUGGCUGUGGACCGGAAACUAGAAAAUAUCUUCUUAGACACGCGUGUUCGCCGUCUGCGUCAGUGCUUGAUGCCAAUCACAGGGUGGACAAAGUCCCUGAGCUCCAUGAUUGCACUUCAGGAGGAUUCGAUGGUUCCGUAUGAAAGGUAUGAUGAGGCCAUACAAGGUUGUGUAUUGGAUUUGGUUUCAGAAGAAAUCAAGCUAAGAAAUGUAACAGUUGUCUGUUCUUUACGGACGAUGGAUGACAAAAAAGUUAAGGAGAUGCAGAAAGAUUUACUGGAAGUGCAGAAAAAAGCACGAGAAGUAGAGCGAGAGAAAAUGUCAUUCGAGACCUACUUCCAGAGUAACUACAAGAAGCUCGCUAAGGAUUUGCGCACUUGUGUGGAGACUUUCGUCGAUGAUCUUCCCAGAUCCGCAACAUCAGAAGAAAACUUUUGCUGCAUGGCGGAGGUGCUGCUCUUGCUCGAUGCGUUUGGAGUGCUCGUGCAGUCUGAACCAGUCGAACAGCUUCAAGCGCUGUUCAAAAGGCACUCCGAUGUUAGGUUCCGGCUGAGGGAGGCGAUAUCCUCGUGUCUUCGCAAGCUAUGGCUCCUUUCUUCUAACUUUAAGCUUCCCGAAAUGUAUGACAGCCGAACGAUCGAUCUAGAGUUCUUGCUUCAGAAUGCUAAGAUCGUGCUCUGUACAGCUUCGAGCUCGUACCGCCUGCUCUACAUGCAGAAGGCCCAGCCCUUGGAGGUCCCUGUCGUGGACGAGGCCGCGCAGCUUAAGGAGUGCGAGUCACUGAUACCCCUGCAGCUGCCUGGCGUCCGUCACGCUGUUCUCAUCGAUGAUGAGUACCUGCUUCCCGCAUUGGUCAAAAGCAAGAGUCGAUUGACACGAGGAAGGCGAUCCGCCUGGGAGUGGUGUCGCCCUACAAGGGCCAGGUCCGGCCAUCGAGGAGAAGCUUGGCAAGCAGGUGUACUCGAUGCACGAUGGGUCGUUCUCGGUGAAGGUGCGGACCGUGGACGGGUUCCAGGGCGCGGAGGAGGACGUGAUCAUCUUCUCCACCGUGCGGAGUAACACCGCCGGCAAGAUUGGCUUCCUCGCCGACACCAACCGCACCAAUGUCGCGCUGACGCGGGCCAAACAUUGCCUGUGGAUCCUGGGCAACGUGAAGACGCUGGCGAGCGGCAAAACGAUAUGGCGGCAGAUCGUGGACGACGCAAGGAGAGGGGCUGUUUCUUGGACGCCAAGGACGACCAGGACCUCGCAUGCGCCAUAAUCAAGGCCUCCAUCGAGCUGGACGGAGUGGAGAAUCUACUCAAGUUUGACAUGCUGCGGAUCGGCGGCUCGAGAAGGUCCGGGGUAUGAUGGUAAACUCGACUCGCAAGCUCCGGGGUACCAACUACCAAGUUAGAAACACCAACUUUGGCCGAAGUCUGUGUGUCUUAAGUUUUGAACUAUCUUGCUUAUGAGGUGGUGAUGAUGAUUGUCUGAUUGAUCUAGAUCCCUUAAAUAAAUUUAACAUCGUAUGAAGAGAAGUAUGCUGUAUAUCCUUUG